UUAAGUAAGAAAGGGCGUACGGCGGAUGCCUGGGCCAUAUCAGCCGACGAAGGACGCGAUAAGCUGCGAAAAGCUGCGGGGAGGUGCAAGUAACCGGAGAGCCGCAGAUAUCCGAAUGGGGAAACCCGGCAGUAGGAGUACUGUCACCUCUCGGACGAGAGGAGGGCACCCGGUGAACUGAAACAUCUAAGUAGCCGGAGGAAAAGGAAUCAACAGAGAUGCCCCCAGUAGCGGCGAGCGAAAAGGGCGGAGCCCAAACCGGGGCGGGAAACCGCGCCGGGGUAGAGGACUACCGAAAGACAGCAGGAUGAAGUCGAAGCAGGUGGGAACCUGCGCCGCAGACGGUGAGAGCCCGGUAGACGUAAAGAGAGCUGAGGGGUAGGAUCCGGAGUACCACGGGGCACGAGGAACCUUGUGGGAAGCAGGGGGGACCACCCUCCAAGGCGAAAUACUGAUAUGGACCGAUAGCGCAGAGUACCGUGAGGGAACGGUGAAAAGAACCCCGGGAGGGGAAUGAAAGAGAACCUGAAACCGUAUGUCUACAAGCAGUCGAAGCACGAUGCAGGUGCGACGGCGUGCCUAUUGAAGAAUGAACCGGCGAGUUAUUUUUUUCGGCGAGGUUAAGCGGCAGACGCGGAGCCGAAGCGAAAGCGAGUCUGAAGAGGGCGCGAAGUCGAAAGGAAUAGACCCGAAACCACAGUGAUCUAUCCAUGCCCAGGUUGAAGCACAGGUAAAAAUGUGUGGAGGACCGAACCAGUGAGCGUUGAAAAGCUUUUGGAUGAGGUGUGGAUAGGGGUGAAAUGCCAAUCGAACGUGGAGAUAGCUGGUUCUCCCCGAAAUAGCUUUAGGGCUAGCCUCAUGAAAAGAGUACAGGCGGUAGAGCACUGAACAGGGAAGGGGCCGAGCGGUUACCGAACCUAAUCAAACUACGAAUGGCUGUACUUAUGCAUGGGAGUCAGACUGCGAGUGAUAAGACCCGUAGUCAAGAGGGAAACAGCCCAGACCAACAGCUAAGGUCCCGAAUGCCGUACUAAGUGGCAAAGGAGGUGGCGUUUCGAAAACAACCAGGAUGUUGGCUCAGAAGCAGCCAUCAUUAAAAGAGUGCGUAAUAGCUCACUGGUCGAGAGACGCGGCGCCGAAGAUGACCGGGGCUGAAGUACGGAACCGAAGCUUUGGCAUGUAUGGAGACAUACAUGGGUAGGGGAGCGUUCCUGCGUGGGAGAAGCCUGACCGGAAGGACAGGUGGACAGGCAGGAAGCGAGAAUGCCGGUAUGAGUAGCGAAAAGAAAGGUGGGAAUCCUUUCCACCGAAAGCCUAAGGGUUCCUGGGCAACGAUCGUCGACCCAGGGUAAGUCGGGGCCUAAUCCGAGGCGCAGACGCAUAGGAGAUGGACAACAGGUUGAAAUUCCUGUACCGACACCGUCCGAUAGAGCGAGGGAGUGACACAAGAAGGAACGUUCGCAUGCGAAUGGAAGAGCAUGUCCAAGCCGGUAGGUGGCGUAUCAGGCAAAUCCGGUACGCCGAAAGCCGAGAGGUGAUGGGGAGGCUGUAGAGAUACAGAGGAAGGAACGGGGACUCAAUUGUCAAGAAAAGCUUCUAGCGAGGACGGUGGCGCCCGUACCGAAACCGACACAGGUAGGCAGGACGAGAAUUCUAAGGUGCGCGGGAAACCCCUCGUUAAGGAACUCGGCAAAAUGUAUCCGUAACUUCGGGAAAAGGAUAACCCAGAGUAGGUGAAGGGCAGAAACGGCCGGAGCCGAAAUGGGUGGCACAAGAGAGGCCCAAGCGACUGUUUAGCACAAACACAGGCGUCUGCGAAAGAGAAAUCUGAAGUAUAGAUGCUGACACCUGCCCGGUGCUGGAAGGUUAAGAGGACGUGUGAGCCGCAAGGCGAAGCAGAGAAUUGAAGCCCCAGUAAACGGCGGCCGUAACUAUAACGGUCCUAAGGUAGCGAAAUUCCUUGUCGGGUAAGUUCCGACCCGCACGAAAGGUGUAACGAUUUGGGCACUGUCUCAACGAGGGACCCGGUGAAAUUGAAGUACCUGUGAAGAUGCAGGUUACCCGCGACUGGACAGAAAGACCCCAUGGAGCUUUACUGCAACCUGAGAUGGGAUUUGGGUAUAAGACGUACAGGAUAGUUGGGAGGCGUGGAAGUGAGGACGGCAGUUUUCACGGAGCCGACGGUGGGAUACCAACCUUGUUGUACUGAAAUUCUAACGAGAGCCGUAACGAGGCUUCGGACAGUCUCAGGCGGGCAGUUUGACUGGGGCGGUCGCCUCCGAAAGAGCAACGGAGGCGCCCAAGGGUUCCCUCAGCGCGGACGGAAACCGCGCGCAGAGUGUAAAGGCAGAAGGGAGCUUGACUGCGAGACGGACAGGUCGAGCAGGGACGAAAGUCGGGCUUAGUGAUCCGGUGGUGCCGAGUGGAAGGGCCAUCGCUCAACGGAUAAAAGCUACCCUGGGGAUAACAGGCUAAUCUCUCCCAAGAGUCCAUAUCGACGGGGAGGUUUGGCACCUCGAUGUCGGCUCAUCACAUCCUGGGGCUGAAGUAGGUCCCAAGGGUUGGGCUGUUCGCCCAUUAAAGUGGUACGCGAGCUGGGUUCAGAACGUCGUGAGACAGUUCGGUCCCUAUCCAUCGCGGGCGGAAGAAACUUGAAAGGGGCUGCUCCCAGUACGAGAGGACCGGAGUGGACGAACCGCUGGUGUAUCGGUUAUGCCGCCAGGCGUACAGCCGAGUAGCUACGUUCGGGACGGAUAAACGCUGAAAGCAUCUAAGCGUGAACCCGGCCUAAAGAUGAGGUUUCUCCUUGCAAGACAAGUAAGGCCCCAUGAAGACGACAUGGUAGAUAGGCCGGGAGUGGAAGUGCAGCGAUGCAUGGAGCGGACCGGUACUAAUAGGCCGAGGACUUAACUUA
rnacentral:rRNA from 1 species